UACGUAGGGCGCAAGCGUUGUCCGGAAUUAUUGGGCGUAAAGAGCUCGUAGGCGGUCUGUCGCGUCGGAUGUGAAAGCCCGGGGCUUAACCCCGGGUCUGCAUUCGAUACGGGCAGACUAGAGUGUGGUAGGGGAGAUCGGAAUUCCUGGUGUAGCGGUGAAAUGCGCAGAUAUCAGGAGGAACACCGGUGGCGAAGGCGGGUCUCUGGGCAGUAACUGACGCUGAGGCGCGAAAGCGUGGGGAGCGAACAGG
rnacentral:rRNA from 1 species